rnacentral:tRNA from 1 species
UUAACUCAUUGGCAGAUAAAUGCAAUAAAUUUAGAAUUUAUCAAUACACUA